AUUGAACGCUGGCGGCAUGCCUUACACAUGCAAGUCGAACGGCAGCAUGGAAGAGCUUGCUCUUCUGAUGGCGAGUGGCGAACGGGUGAGUAAAGCAUCGGAACGUACCGUGUAGUGGGGGAUAACGUAGCGAAAGUUACGCUAAUACCGCAUACGCACUGAGGUGGAAAGCAGGGGGAUCGCAAGACCUUGCGCUAUACGAGCGGCCGAUGUCAGAUUAGCUAGUUGGUAGGGUAAAGGCCUACCAAGGCGACGAUCUGUAGCGGGUCUGAGAGGAUGAUCCGCCACACUGGGGACCUGAGACACGGCCCAGACUCCUACGGGAGGCAGCAGUGGGGGAAUUUUGGGACAAAUGGGCGAAAGCCUGAUCCAGCCAUGCCGCGUGAGUGAAGAAGGCCUC
rnacentral:rRNA from 1 species